rnacentral:lncRNA from 1 species
GAUUGGUUCUGCCGUGGUAGGGUGUGCGUGAGGUGGAAGAAGGGCUGUUCCUCCACGGCACGGUGGAGGAGUUCUGAAGUCCUAAAGUUGGGGCAGGACCUGCAGCAUGGUCGGAGAAGGGGCAAGAGGCCCGGCGGGAAGAAGCAGCAAGAGUAAGACAAGUAGGUCAGGGCCUGCUUAGUACUGAGGGCCAGACGGCCAGAACGAGCGUCGGGAGACAGGAGGAGUGUCCGGGGUUUUCGCCCUCCUUUUUUCUCUUACCAAACCCAAAUGGUCCUGCUCCCCAGGUCGUGGAAUUAAGGGAAGAAGCAGAAAAGUUCUAGAAGAGGACUGGAGAAGUAGAAGGACUACAGACCCCAUGAUGCACAUGGAAAUGGGCGUAAAUCUGCACGACUUGUUCCGGGGCAUGCGCAUGUGUAAGCGCACAAUAAUCUCUUAAGAAUUAAAGAAACCUUGUAACAAAGAAAAGUAGUGAAGAAAAGCCUUAAGGAAAAGAGAAGGAAUGUGUGUAGUCCCUCUGCUUAAGGAAAAGAUAGAGGGUGGGAAGAUCUUCCUUCAACAAUUUAGAUCAACAUUUGUUAGGUAUAUGUGGUUUGCCAGGAAACUGCAUGUGUGUUGUGGA